UCCAUCUACUGUCUGGAGACGUCUGGCCAGAAGUGGUCUUAAUGGAAGAAUUGUGGCCAAAAAGCCAUACCUCCGAUGUGAAAACAAGGCCAAGAGACUCAACUAUGCACAAAAACACAGGAACUGGGGUGCAGACAAAUGGCAGCAGGUUCUCUGGACUGAUGAGUCAAAAUGUGAAAAAUG